CGCUCGAUGUUUUUCUUUUAUAUCGAGUCGAACCUGCCCAGUGAUUUUUAUUUAACGGCCGCAGUACUCUGACUGUGCAAAGGUAGCAUAAUCAUUUGCCUUAUAAUUGAAGGCUAGUAUGAAUGGUUUGACAAGAAUAACGCUGUCUCUUAUAGAUUCUAUAGAAUUUGGUUUUUAGGUGAAGAAACCUAAAUAUAAUUAAAAGACAAGAAGACCCUAUCGAGCUUAAAAUAAUUUUUUUGGUAUAAUGAUAACACCUUACUCAAAAAAAGAUUUUAGUUGGGGCGACUAAGGAACACAAAAAGCUUCCUAUAAACUAUAAUUACUAAUAAGUAUUGAUCCAAAAAGUUUGAUUAACAGAAUUAGUUACCGUAGGGAUAACAGCAUAAUCUUUUCUAAGAGUCCUUAUCGAAGAAAAGGUUUGUGACCUCGAUGUUGGACUAGGGUGCCCAGACAGGUGCAGAAGCCUUCAAUGGUUGGUCUGUUCGACCAUUAAUACCCUACA
rnacentral:rRNA from 1 species